rnacentral:rRNA from 1 species
GACGAACGCUGGCGGCGUGCCUAAUACAUGCAAGUAGAACGCUGAAGGAGGAGCUUGCUUCUCUGGAUGAGUUGCGAACGGGUGAGUAACGCGUAGGUAACCUGCCUGGUAGCGGGGGAUAACUAUUGGAAACGAUAGCUAAUACCGCAUAAUAGUAGAUGUUGCAUGACAUUUGCUUAAAAGGUGCAAUUGCAUCACUACCAGAUGGACCUGCGUUGUAUUAGCUAGUUGGUGAGGUAACGGCUCACCAAGGCAACGAUACAUAGCCGACCUGAGAGGGUGAGCGGCCACACUGGGACUGAGACACGGCCCAGACUCCUACGGGAGGCAGCAGUAGGGAAUCUUCGGCAAUGGACGGAAGUCUGACCGAGCAACGCCGCGUGAGUGAAGAAGGUUUUCGGAUCGUAAAGCUCUGUUGUAAGAGAAGAACGAGUGUGAGAGUGGAAAGUUCACACUGUGACGGUAUCUUACCAGAAAGGGACGGCUAACUACGUG